AGAGUUUGAUCCUGGCUCAGGACGAACGCUGGCGGCGUGCUUAACACAUGCAAGUCGAACGUGAUUUUUGUGGAAAUUCUUUCGGGAAUGGAAAUGAAAUGAAAGUGGCGAACGGGUGAGUAACACGUGAGCAACCUACCUUACACAGGGGGAUAGCCGUUGGAAACGACGAUUAAUACCGCAUGAGACCACAGAAUCGCAUGAUAUAGGGGUCAAAGAUUUAUCGGUGUAAGAAGGGCUCGCGUCUGAUUAGCUAGUUGGAAGGGUAAAGGCCUACCAAGGCGACGAUCAGUAGCCGGUCUGAGAGGAUGAACGGCCACAUUGGAACUGAGACACGGUCCAAACUCCUACGGGAGGCAGCAGUGGGGAAUAUUGCACAAUGGGGGGAACCCUGAUGCAGCGACGCCGCGUGAGCGAAGAAGGUUUUCGAAUCGUAAAGCUCUGUCCUAUGAGAAGAUAAUGACGGUAUCAUAGGAGGAAGCCCCGGCUAAAUACGUGCCAGCAGCCGCGGUAAUACGUAUGGGGCGAGCGUUGUCCGGAAUUAUUGGGCGUAAAGGGUACGUAGGCGGUUUUUUAAGUCAGGUGUGAAAGCGUGAGGCUUAACCUCAUUAAGCACUUGAAACUGGAAGACUUGAGUGAAGGAGAGGAAAGUGGAAUUCCUAGUGUAGCGGUGAAAUGCGUAGAUAUUAGGAGGAAUACCGGUGGCGAAGGCGACUUUCUGGACUUUUACUGACGCUCAGGUACGAAAGCGUGGGGAGCAAACAGGAUUAGAUACCCUGGUAGUCCACGCC
rnacentral:rRNA from 1 species